UACGGAGGGAGCUAGCGUUAUUCGGAAUUACUGGGCGUAAAGCGCACGUAGGCGGCUUGUAAGUUAGAGGUGAAAGCCUGGAGCUCAACUCCAGAACUGCCUUUAAGACUGCAUCGCUUGAAUCCAGGAGAGGUGAGUGGAAUUCCGAGUGUAGAGGUGAAAUUCGUAGAUAUUCGGAAGAACACCAGUGGCGGAAGGCG
rnacentral:rRNA from 1 species